rnacentral:rRNA from 1 species
AUGAACGCUGGCGGCGUGCCUAAUACAUGCAAGUCGAGCGAACAGACGAGGAGCUUGCUCCUCUGACGUUAGCGGCGGACGGGUGAGUAACACGUGGAUAACCUACCUAUAAGACUGGGAUAACUUCGGGAAACCGGAGCUAAUACCGGAUAAUAUAUUGAACCGCAUGGUUCAAUAGUGAAAGACGGUUUUGCUGUCACUUAUAGAUGGAUCCGCGCCGCAUUAGCUAGUUGGUAAGGUAACGGCUUACCAAGGCGACGAUGCGUAGCCGACCUGAGAGGGUGAUCGGCCACACUGGAACUGAGACACGGUCCAGACUCCACGGGAGGCAGCAGUAGGGAAUCUUCCGCAAUGGGCGAAAGCCUGACGGAGCAACGCCGCGUGAGUGAUGAAGGUCUUCGGAUCGUAAAACUCUGUUAUUAGGGAAGAACAAAUGUGUAAGUAACUAUGCACGUCUUGACGGUACCUAAUCAGAAAGCCACGGCUAACUACGUG